rnacentral:rRNA from 1 species
AACGAACGCUGGCGGCGUGGAUAAGACAUGCAAGUCGAGCGGGACAUUGACGGUAGCAAUACUGGCGGUGUUCAGCGGCAAACGGGUGCGUAACACGUAGCUACUUACCUCGAAGUGGGGAUAGCUCGCCGAAAGGCGAAUUAAUACCGCAUGUGAUUGUAAGAUUAAAGCAGGGGAUCGUAAGACCUUGCGCUUCGAGAUGGGGCUGCGGCCUAUCAGCNGUUGGUGAGGUAACGGCUCACCAAGGCGAUGACGGGUAGCUGGUCUGAGAGGACGACCAGCCACAGUGGAACUGAGAGACGGUCCACACACCUACGGGUGGCAGCAGUCGAGGAUCUUGGACAAUGGGCGCAAGCCUGAUCCAGCGACGCCGCGUGAGGGAUGAAGGUCUUCGGAUUGUAAA